UACGUAGGGGGCAAGCGUUGUCCGGAUUUAUUGGGCGUAAAGAGCGUGUAGGCGGCUAGAUAGGUCCGUUGUGAAAACUCGAGGCUCAACCUCGAGACGCCGAUGGAAACCAUCUAGCUAGAGUCCGGAAGAGGAGAGUGGAAUUCCUGGUGUAGCGGUGAAAUGCGCAGAUAUCAGGAAGAACACCCGUGGCUAAGGCGGCUCUCUAGUACGGUACUGACGCUGAGACGCGAAAGCGUGGGGAGCGAACAGG
rnacentral:rRNA from 1 species